AUGUGUUGCAACUACGGGAACUCCUGUGGCUAUGGCUGCGGAUGUGGCUAUGGCUAUGGAUGUGGCCCCUAUUCUGGCUGUGGUUAUAGAACUGGCUAUGGCUAUGGCUAUGGCUCAGGUUAUGGCUGUGGCUGUGGCUAUGGCUCAGGUUAUGGCUGUGGCUGUGCUAUGGCUCAGGCUAUGGCUGUGGCUGUGGCUAUGGCUCAGGUUAUGGUUGUGGCUGUGGCUAUGGCUCAGGUUAUGGCUGUGGCUGUGGCUAUGGCUCUGGCUGUGGCUAUGGCUGUGGCUAUGGCUCCCGCUAUGGCUGUGGCUAUGGCUCUGGCUGUGGCUCUGGUUGUGGAUAUGGCUGUGGCUCUGGCUGUGGCUAUGGCUCUAGCUGUGGCUAUGGCUGUGGCUAUGGCUCCCGCUAUGGCUGUGGCUAUGGCUCUGGCUGUGGCUCUGGUUGUGGAUAUGGCUGUGGCUCUGGCUGUGGCUAUGGCUCUAGCUGUGGCUAUGGCUGUGGCUCUGGCUCUGGCUAUGGCUCUGGCUGUGGAUACAGCUGUGGCUAUGGCUCUGGCUGUGGCUAUGGCUGUGGCUAUGGCUCUGGCUGUGGAUACAGCUCCCGCUAUGGCUGUGGCUAUGGCUCUGGAUGCUGUGGCUACUAAACAUUUUGCUACAGAAGAUGAUAUUCCUCUUGCUGCUAAUCAUCACUGCAGCUAAUACUGUACCUUUGAAAUGAUCACUGCAAGCACAAGUCCAGUUGAUAUCUCCCUACCCAUGAACUUCAUAGCAAAGUAAAGAAUUAUUAUUGUCUGUCAGGGACCUGCCUUAACUUCAAAGAAACUCUUUGCCGUUGAUGGAGAAUGAGCAGUUUCAUCACACCACUGAAGACAGAAGAUCUUACUCUGAUCAUUUUUCAAAUGUAAAUUCUUCUAUUUUUUUUCUCUGUCUCUGUUCUGUGGCUAUUUGCAUAAGCACAGGAGGACUAUCGAAUGGGAAUAUAUUAAAAUGGAGCAAAAAUAAAAGAUUUUAUUUACUGAGAAGUCUUGUUUUC
rnacentral:lncRNA from 12 species